rnacentral:rRNA from 1 species
GAUGAACGCUAGCGGCAGGCUUAACACAUGCAAGUCGAGGGGUAUAGUUCUUCGGAACUAGAGACCGGCGCACGGGUGCGUAACGCGUAUGCAAUCUACCUUUUACAGAGGGAUAGCCCAGAGAAAUUUGGAUUAAUACCUCAUAGCAUUAUGAUAUGGCAUCGUAUUAUAAUUAAAGUUCCAACGGUAAGAGAUGAGCAUGCGUCCCAUUAGCUAGUUGGUGUGGUAACGGCACACCAAGGCUACGAUGGGUAGGGGUCCUGAGAGGGAGAUCCCCCACACUGGUACUGAGACACGGACCAGACUCCUACGGGAGGCAGCAGUGAGGAAUAUUGGACAAUGGGGCGCAAGCCUGAUCCAGCCAUGCCGCGGUGCAGGAUGAAGCAUCUAUGGUGUGUAAAACUGCUUUUGUACAGGAAGAAACCCUCCCACGUGUGGGAGAUUGGACGGUACUGUAAGAAUAAGGAUCGGCUAACUCCGUG